AAGCAAGCCAUCCCACUUCUAAUCACUUCCACUCUGUUGCAGCUGCUGAAACCUGGAACCAGGAGAGGAACUCCUCCUCAAGCUGAGCCAUCUCCCCUUUCGCCCCUUAGGUUGAGGACUUGAGGUGCCCUUGUGUUAGAGCCUUGCUUGUGGUGUUUUUUUUUAAAGAGCCUAGCCCAGUUGAUGAUGCCCCCC